GAAUAUUAGUCAAUGCUCGAAAGAGUGAACUAGCUAACUGAAAUCAAUUAUAAUAAUUGAUAACAUAAGGGAAAAUAAUGAUAUUACCUUAUUAUUAGUGUCGUCCAAAUCUGGUGCCAGAAGACUCGGUAAGGCCAGAGACACAAACGUUAAUCGUCUUAAUCAGGCGUAAAGGGUUUGUAGGCGGCUUUAAAAUUUACUUAAAAAAAAUAAAUACAAAAAAUAAGUAAAAAAUAAAAGCUAGAAUCAAAUAGAGGAUAUAUGAAAGAAUGCUUAGAGUAGGUCUGAUAUCCUUAGAUACUAAGUAGAAUAUUAAAGGCGAAAGCUUUUUUCCAUUAAUGAUUGACGCUCAGAAACGAAGGUGAGGAUAGGAAAUAGGAUUAGAUACCCAAAAUACCCCUCUCUGUCAACGAUGAAUGGUAGUUAUUAGUAAAAAUUUAUUAAUGGCAAUGUUAACACGAUAACCAUUCCGCCUUGUGAGUACAACUGCAAAGUUGAAAACAAAAAAAUUAGUCGGUUUCGGAGCAAACGAAGUGAAGCAUGUUAUUUAAUUC
rnacentral:rRNA from 1 species